ensembl:lncRNA
CUCCAUAGGCUGCAGUGCCCCUUAGCACCAGAAGGCCCACCCCAUAGAUAGCUCUGCUCCUCAGCACCCCCAACUCUAGUCCCCAACAGACAGUUCCAGCCCCCCCAACUCUAGUCCCCUCUCCCACUGUAGACCCUCCACCCCACACACUUCCUGGUGCAGGACCACCCCAAUCUCUUCACUCCCACUGCCCCUGUCAGCUCCAGCUCCUCCCCUGCUCCAGACCCCCGCAUCCCAGCUUAGAUCGCUCCAGGCCCCUUCCACUUCCUAGGUCUGCCCAUUACCUGCUUUUGCCCUCUCGGGACCCCUAGCCUCUUAGCCUCAGCUUCACCCUCCCCCCCCCCCCAUUUCCUUGCUGUAAAUCCUUCCUCUGGAGCUAGGCCCCUUAAGCCCCUGGAGAUUACCUUCUGCCCACUUCAGUUGCCCACCUACAACCCCAGCUCCAUGCCCUUCUGCACUUCUAGGCAGCUACCAGAGACUUCCUGGGAGGAAGCGGAGACCAGGCCUGCCACAUGUUCAUGGAUGAAUAUUGCUUUCACCCACUCGCAAGUGUCCAGAGCCUCUGCUGAGGGGGAGAGCCAUCUUCAGGCACCAAAGAAAAAGGUGGCAAGCAGGAGUGUGGACCAGAAGAACCCUCCAUUUGAGGACUUUAAGGGAACUUUGAUAGAUCAAGACCCCAAAGAUGCUAAAUCUCAUCAACAUUCCGUGAAGAAUCAGAGAGCCUUUGUUUACCAGCCCAGCUCAACAGAACACGCUCAAGGAGAUCCACCACCACUGGCUAAACUGGCCGUAGCACCAGCUGAAAAAAGAGAGGCGUGUGACAACUCAGAGGCUCCGUCUGAGAUCAAAAGUCCGAGGCAGAUGCAGCCCCUUGCCAAGAGCACACAAACUGAAGAAUCCUCUCCAAACCAGACCCAGCCGCCCUGCUUCCCAGAUGGCAGAGGGAACAAGAACAGCUUUGGGCUUGAGAAGAGGAACUCUCCCCCUCCACUGGGAGGAGCAGGAAGGAAGUGGGCAGAGGGCUCUGAAGUGGACCGUGAAGAGGAACUGAAAGAGGUAAUGGACCAUCUGUACCCACUUGCAUGGAGGCCACCCAAAGCCUUCUGUAGCUUCAUGUGGCAGUUCCCAAUUGAGUACAGCACAGGACUCUGAGAGCCCUAUUUCGAUAUAUAUGUGUCUGAGGCAACCUCCCUGUGCCUAGCCACUACAGCAGGCCCUAGAUACAUCCAUGCAUCCAUAAUGUAGUGCACAAAUUAACAGUAGUGAUCUAUAGACGUGGCCGGUGCUCGUGUAAUUGAUUCCAAAAUGGUAUGUUUUAAAUAUCAGUAUCCCUCUGUGGGGCGCAGAUCCACAGAGCCAGCUAGACUGGAGAGCUGUAUUUUGUAGAGCUCAAUGGUUCUCACACUGGUCUCUGGUCUCCAGUUACAGCAAGGCUUCAAGCGGCGUUGGAGCCCCGUCGGUGAAUACUUAACUCAUCCAAAAAGCCUCUGGAGACUCUCAACUCUGCAUCCUGUGCAGCUGCUUCAUGGCCUCUGCAAGCUGUCCGGGGGCAUUCUCUAGGAACCUCUGGUUUUUAUUUAGCCUUUGAUCAGCUCCAUCUGUUCUGCUCUUGUGUUUCAAUCCCUAUAAUGGAAGCAGUCGGCUGCUGGAGUGACAAGAGUGAGAGAAAGCAGAGCAGGGUGUGUUUGGUGUAAACGCCGCUGCGAUCGAAUUGGCACAUGAUGCCAAAAGUGGCCAUGACGGCGAAUGCUCAGUAGGAGAGACCCCGGCUGCAGAAGGCUCUGAAGAGGUGAGAGCCAGGCCGGCCUCAGGCUGUGAUUGAGGAGCCAGAGAGCUUAGUUUACA